CAAAGUACUUUUAAAAAUUAUAUAUAUGUGUGUGUGUGUGUGUGUGUGUGUGUGUGUGUGUGUAUACAUACAUACAUACAUACAUACAUACAUAUAUACAUAUAUACAC
ensembl:miRNA Gm25025 predicted gene, 25025